rnacentral:rRNA from 1 species
GAUGAACGCUGGCGGCGUGCCUAAUACAUGCGAGUCGAGCGAACAGACGAGGAGCUUGCUCCUCUGACGUUAGCGGCGGACGGGUGAGUAACACGUGGAUAACCUACCUAUAAGACUGGGAUAACUUCGGGAAACCGGAGCUAAUACCGGAUAAUAUAUUGAACCGCAUGGUUCAAUAGUGAAAGACGGUUUUGCUGUCACUUAUAGAUGGAUCCGCGCCGCAUUAGCUAGUUGGUAAGGUAACGGCUUACCAAGGCAACGAUGCGUAGCCGACCUGAGAGGGUGACCGGCCACACUGGAACUGAGACACGGUCCAGACUCCUACGGGAGGCAGCAGUAGGGAAUCUUCCGCAAUGGGCGAAAGCUUGACGGAGCAACGCCGCGUGAGUGAUGAAGGUCUUCGGAUCGUAAAACUCUGUUAUUAGGGAAGAACAAAUGUGUAAGUAACUAUGCACGUCUUGACGGUACCUAAUCAGAAAGCCACGGCUAACUACGUG